CCAUAGACUCUAGGACAGGAUGGCGUCGUCUUCUUCCUCCAGAGACAUGGAGCAGUUCAAUGGGGCGAAUUUCUUUGCUUGGAAAGAAUGUGCACAGUUUUGGUAUAUAAGGUCCAUUGGAAAGAUCUGGAUGCUAGGGCAAAUGGAGCAUUACGCAGAGGACUCAGCCCUCUCUACAGUGUCUACGUGAAUGUGGAGAAUUGAGAAGUCAAUUUGUGAAAUUAUGGGAGUGGACUUGCAAGAAGAUGUGGACAUGAUUCUUCGUCGCAGUGAGUUAUACAGCCUAGAGUAGCAGCCACACGAGUACAUGCAAGAUUACAUCACUAGGCUUCAGCACAAAGUGGUGGAGAUUCAACUGCUGGAUCCAGAAGCUGCUGUGAUAGAUCAAGAGUUUAAUUCAGUUCUGUUUAAGGGGCUUGCAAUUGAGCUCAUCCAGCAUGAGAAAACCGUUAUAAAUGAAGGCAA